CUACGGGAUGCACCAGUGGGGAAUAUUGCACAAUGGGGGAAACCCUGAUGCAGCGACGCCGCGUGGAGGAUGACGCAUUUCGGUGUGUAAACUCCUUUUAUAUAGGAAGAUAAUGACGGUACUAUAUGAAUAAGCACCGGCUAACUCCGUGCCAGCAGCCGCGGUAAUACGGAGGGUGCAAGCGUUACUCGGAAUCACUGGGCGUAAAGCGCGCGCAGGCGGCCUUUUAAGUUGGAUGUGAAAGCCUAUGGCUUAACCAUAGAACUGCAUCCAAAACUAUCAGGCUAGAGUCUGGGAGGGGAAGAUGGAAUUAGUUGUGUAGGGGUAAAAUCCGUAGAGAUAACUAGGAAUACCAAAAGCGAAGGCGAUCUUCUGGAACAGUACUGACGCUGAGGCGCGAAAGCGUGGGGAGCAAACAGGAUUAGAUACCCCGGUAGUC
rnacentral:rRNA from 1 species